rfam:Jatropha curcas cultivar GZQX0401 scaffold15_66, whole genome shotgun sequence.
AACUGUGAUGAGGACACUACCUUUCGAUGUCUCGGUAUCUCUCCCAAGCCUCAAAGAGACUUUCAUCUGAUUUUUGCUUAAAUGUGGCUAUCUCCAUUUUAAGCUU